UACGAAGGGGGCUAGCGUUGCUCGGAAUUACUGGGCGUAAAGGGCGCGUAGGCGGAUAGUUUAGUCAGAGGUGAAAGCCCAGGGCUCAACCUUGGAAUUGCCUUUGAUACUGGCUGUCCUGAGUACGGGAGAGGUGAGUGGAACUCCGAGUGUAGAGGUGAAAUUCGUAGAUAUUCGGAAGAACACCAGUGGCGAAGGCGACUCACUGGCCCGUUACUGACGCUGAGGCGCGAAAGCGUGGGGAGCAAACAGG
rnacentral:rRNA from 1 species